rnacentral:rRNA from 1 species
GACGAACGCUGGCGGCGUGCUUAACACAUGCAAGUCGAACGGAAAGGCCCUGCUUUUGUGGGGUGCUCGAGUGGCGAACGGGUGAGUAACACGUGAGUAACCUGCCCUUGACUUUGGGAUAACUUCAGGAAACUGGGGCUAAUACCGGAUAGGAGCUCCUGCUGCAUGGUGGGGGUUGGAAAGUUUCGGCGGUUGGGGAUGGACUCGCGGCUUAUCAGCUUGUUGGUGGGGUAGUGGCUUACCAAGGCUUUGACGGGUAGCCGGCCUGAGAGGGUGACCGGCCACAUUGGGACUGAGAUACGGCCCAGACUCCUACGGGAGGCAGCAGUGGGGAAUAUUGCACAAUGGGCGGAAGCCUGAUGCAGCAACGCCGCGUGCGGGAUGGCGGCCUUCGGGUUGUAAACCGCUUUCGCCUGUGACGAAGCGUGAGUGACGAUAAUGGGUAAAGAAGCACCGGCUAACUACGUG